rnacentral:rRNA from 1 species
AGAGUUUGAUCCUGGCUCAGAUUGAACGCUGGCGGCAUGCCUAACACAUGCAAGUCGAGCGGCAGCAUGAUGUGUAGCAAUACAUAUUGAUGGCGAGCGGCGGACGGGUGAGUAAUGCAUGGGAAUCUGCCCAGUAGCGGGGGACAACCCGGAGAAAUCCGGGCUAAUACCGCAUACGCUACGGGGGAAAGCGGGGGACC